rnacentral:rRNA from 1 species
UCUCUCGGAUUGACGGUAGGUGGAGAAGAAGCACCGGCCAACUACGUGCCAGCAGCCGUGGUAAUACGUAGGGUGCGAGCGUUGUCCGGAAUUACUGGGCGUAAAGAGCUCGUAGGUGGUUUGUCGCGUUGUUCGUGAAAUCUCACGGCUUAACUGUGAGCGUGCGGGCGAUACGGGCAGACUAGAGUACUGCAGGGGAGACUGGAAUUCCUGGUGUAGCGGUGGAAUGCGCAGAUAUCAGGAGGAACACCGGUGGCGAAGGCGGGUCUCUGGGCAGUAACUGACGCUGAGGAGCGAAAGCGUGGGGAGCGAACAGGAUUAGAUACCCUGGUAGUCCACGCCGUAAACGGUGGGUACUAGGUGUGGGUUUCCUUCCUU